AUAGUUUGGCGUCGGUGGUUUAUGUAUCAAAUGCACUGAGGACUUACCACGUCUACCUGAACCGGAGUAUUCCUGUUAUUGCGGUAGAACAGGAAUUCUUGGGUGUCGAAACAAGGUGUUCCUGCAGAACGAGGUGUGAGAUCUUCCUCGGCUGCACUGCCGUCACUGCUGUUGAGACCGACUCCGGUGCCUUUGACUGCCUGCUGACGACCUCGAAUCUGACGGGAGUUCCCCUGGCACCUUCCGAUGGCGUCACACUCGUCGAU